GUCUCGCAAACCAAGCACAACAAAACUCAUCUUCCGGUUUCUGGGACAAGAUGAAGUUGAGCCUUCUAUUAACCAAACUUAUGGUUUUCUAUUAAGUAAUUUGACAUUUAUCAGGACAUUUGCUUCCGGAAUUCUUGUUCCCAAGUCUUAUAUAUGGCCUGUAGAUAAUCUAUAUUUACAGCCUCAUACCUCAGUUGUUUUGGAUGCUCAUAAAGAAGGUCUAGAAGUUUUUGCGUCAGAUUUUGCAAAUGACGUACCUUUUGCCUACAAUUUCAGUUAUAACCCUGUAGCUGAGUAUCUAUCUUUUAUUGACAAUGGAAACUUCUCUGUGGAUGGUGUGCUUUCUGACUUCCCAAUAACUCCAUCAGCGGCCAUAGCUUGUUUCUCUCACAGAGGCAGAAAUGUGUCAGGACAAGAAAAGCCUUUGGUUAUCUCAUCAAAAAGAUCGAGUGGGGACUACCCUGGUUGUACUGAUUUG